CGUGCGGGGGGGUGGGGGGUGUCACAGAGCUGGGAACUCGCUCAGAGCCAGGGUCUCUGCUGGGGUCAGCGUCUGUACGCUAAAGCCAGGGCGCAAAGUGCGUGGGCACUGCGGACACUAGAGGCUUAUGGCGCUGGAAAUACAAGGCCGAGUUGCCGGCGCAAAGAGUUCCCCGGGCGGGUUGGUGAUGCGGCGCGCUUUGAUAACAGGUUAAUCCGGCCAACAUUCGCUCCGCGAGAGAGCCAUCGGAGGGCUCCGGGAGACUGCGGCGCCACGGAGGGAGAGGCGGCGAGAGGCCCCUCUGCGAGCACCCUCUGGGCGCAGUGCGGUGGGCUAUGCUCUGCGCAGCCCCGGGCGCGCCUGGGUUCUCAGAGCCCAAGACCUGAGCCGCUCCGAGCGCAGGGCGCCAGUUCUCUUUCAGAAGCGGGAGAAGUUCAGGUGCCCAACACCUUGAUCAGUGCCUGCUUUGUAGUAGGCAUUCAAAUACUGUGGACUGGAUGAAUGGAGUCACUUCCCUUCCAACCUGCACACCAACGUGGUUGAACUGCCUCCUUUCUAAGUGCCAAAGUCUGUUUUACAAGGCUGUAAGUGAAAUCACUGACAUGGAAAUUAUAUUUUCAAA
rnacentral:lncRNA from 10 species